rnacentral:rRNA from 1 species
CCUGCCCCUGAUUAAUUUAACGGCCGCAGUAAUUUGACUGUGCAAAGGUAGCAUAAUCAUUAGUUUUUUAAUUAAAAGCUUGUAUGAAAGGUUGGACGAGAUAAAAUCUGUCUUUAUUUAAUUUAUUAUAGAAUUUAAUUUUUAAGUUAAAAAGCUUAAAUAUUUAUAAAAGACGAGAAGACCCUAUAGAUCUUUAUAUUAUUAUAGAUAGAUUUAAUUAAGAAUAUUUUAUUUUUUAUUUAUGUUAAUAUUAUAUUGGGGUAAUAGAAAGAUUAAAUUAAUUUUUUUUUAUUUUAAAUAUUAAUUAAUAAUUAUAUGAUCCAUUAAUUUUGAUUGUAAGAUUAAGUUACCUUAGGGAUAACAGCGUAAUUUUUUUAAAGAGUUCAUAUCGAUAAAAAAGUUUGCGACCUCGAUGUUGGAUUAAAAAUUAUCU